AAAAAGCCCGCGACGCGUCGGCAUCGGCGGGCUUCAGGUGCGGUGUGGCAGCUUUCGACUCGGGCCGGCAUUCCGGCCGGCCUUCGCUUUAGCUGUUUCGGGUGACUGCCCCGCGUCCGCAAGCUGAGAUCAAAUCGACGCAGCGCCCAUCGUAACACGCGUGACGGCGGGCGCGG
rnacentral:sRNA from 1 species